rnacentral:lncRNA from 1 species
GUGGAUGUGGAGAUGGAUCUGUGAAGAGCUUUGGCGAGUAUGUCACUGUCGUGAUCAGGAAGUAACCAGGAGUCGAUGUUGAAGCUUUGUCGGAACGACCAAGGCUCAACGCUCGCUAAUCCAUCAGACGACGCCAUGUUUUUACGGAGUAUUUUUUUUUAACCACAGUGAAAUUCGAGUUCUAAGACGGUGAAAAACGAAUAUAGAAUUUUGGAGCUCUCUUGUUUUUUUUUGUAGGAGUGGGGGAUGAAGUUAGAGAGUGAAAGAAUGAAGGCGGAGGAGAGAUAAUAAAUAGGACGGCGGAGAGGGGGAGGGUGGAGAGAGAAAACGCGUAGAGAGGAGAGAGAGAUAAAGUAAGACACGCGUCAGCAGUGUUGUACGGAUGUCUGACUCAGCUCUGUUUGGUCUACGGUCUUAAUUGAUUAAACCCAUGAGUCCAUGACCCAACUUAUCCCGUAUUAAUUAACGAUAAUGACGUCCCCAAUCUUCAUACUUGAGGUCGGAUGUCCAGAGUUAUUUUUAGCGUUAUUAAUUGCAUCAUUCUUAUUCAUUUUUAUUAAGUUAUAAAAUUUGUAAUCUUAUACAAUAAAGUAGACUCUGCUC